rnacentral:rRNA from 1 species
AGUGAACGCUGGCGGUAGGCCUAACACAUGCAAGUCGAACGGCAGCACAGUAAGAGCUUGCUCUUACGGGUGGCGAGUGGCGGACGGGUGAGGAAUACAUCGGAAUCUACUUUUUCGUGGGGGAUAACGUAGGGAAACUUACGCUAAUACCGCAUACGACCUACGGGUGAAAGCAGGGGAUCUUCGGACCUUGCGCGAUUGAAUGAGCCGAUGUCGGAUUAGCUAGUUGGCGGGGUAAAGGCCCACCAAGGCGACGAUCCGUAGCUGGUCUGAGAGGAUGAUCAGCCACACUGGAACUGAGACACAGUACAGACUCCUACGGGAGGCAGCAGUGCGGAAUAUUGGACAAUGGGCGCAAGCCUGAUCCAGCCAUACCGCGUGGGUGAAGAAGGCCUUCGGGUUGUAAAGCCCUGUUGUUGGGAAAGAAAAGCAGCAGGUUAAUACCCCGCUGUUCUGACGGUACCCAAAGAAUAAGCACCGGCUAACUUCGUG